CCUACGGGUGGCAGCAGUAGGGAAUUUUGCGCAAUGGGGGAAACCCUGACGCAGCAACGCCGCGUGAUCGAUGAAGCCCUUCGGGGUGUAAAGAUCUGUCAGUGGGGACGAAACCUGACGGUACCCACAGAGGAAGCACCGGCUAACUCCGUGGCAGCAGCCGCGGCAAUACGGGGGGUGCAAGCGUUGUCCGUAAACAUUGGGCGUAAAGAGUUUGUAGGUGGGACGUUAAGUCUGGUGUUAAAGGCGGAAGCUCAACUUCCGUAGGGCACUGGAUACUGGCGAGCUUGAAUGCGGUAGAGGAAAGGGGAAUUCCUGGUGUAGCGGUGAAAUGCGUAGAUAUCAGGAGGAACAUCGGUGGCGAAGGCGCUUUACUGGGCCGUAAUUGACGCUGAGGAACGAAAGCCGGGGUAGCAAAUAGGAUUAGAUACCCCUGUAGUC
rnacentral:rRNA from 1 species